rnacentral:rRNA from 1 species
AUCGUAACAAGGUUUCCGUAGGUGAACCUGCGGAAGGAUCAUUAUUGGAAUGAAAACUCUGGCAGGAGGUUGUUGCUGGCCCCUUGGGGGUAUGUGCACACCUCUUGUUUGUUUCU